rnacentral:piRNA from 1 species
UGACCUGCAUGCAGUGGUACCU